GGGAAUAUAGUUCAAUGGUAGAGCACUUGCUUAGAAAGUAUGAGGCCCUGGGCUUGAUCCCCAGUACUACCA
rnacentral:tRNA from 1 species